rnacentral:rRNA from 1 species
UGGGGAAUAUUGGACAAUGGGCGCAAGCCUGAUCCAGCAAUGCCGCGUGUGUGAAGAAGGCCUUCGGGUUGUAAAGCACUUUUAUCAGGAGCGAAAUACUAUCGGUUAAUAACCGGUGGGGCUGACGGUACCUGAGGAAUAAGAACCGGCUAACUUCGUGCCAGCAGCCGCGGUAAUACGGGGGGGGCAAGCGUUGUUCGGAAUUACUGGGCGUAAAGGGCUCGUAGGUGGCCAACUAAGUCGGACGUGAAAUCCCUCGGCUUAACCGGGGAACUGCGUCCGAUACUGGUUGGCUUGAGUUUGGGAGAGGGAUGCGGAAUUCCAGGUGUAGCGGUGAAAUGCGUAGAUAUCUGGAGGAACACCGGUGGCGAAGGCGGCAUCCUGGACCAAUACUGACGCUGAGGAGCGAAAGCCAGGGGAGCAAAC